rnacentral:rRNA from 1 species
AUGAACGCUGGCGGCGUGCCUAAUACAUGCCAGUCGAGCGAACAGACGAGGAGCUUGCUCCUCUGACGUUAGCGGCGGACGGGUGAGUAACACGUGGAUAACCUACCUAUAAGACUGGGAUAACUUCGGGAAACCGGAGCUAAUACCGGAUAAUAUAUUGAACCGCAUGGUUCAAUAGUGAAAGACGGUUUUGCUGUCACUUAUAGAUGGAUCCGCGCCGCAUUAGCUAGUUGGUAAGGUAACGGCUUACCAAGGCAACGAUGCGUAGCCGACCUGAGAGGGUGAUCGGCCACACUGGAACUGAGACACGGUCCAGACUCCUACGGGAGGCAGCAGUAGGGAAUCUUCCGCAAUGGGCGAAAGCCUGACGGAGCAACGCCGCGUGAGUGAUGAAGGUCUUCGGAUCGUAAAACUCUGUUAUUAGGGAAGGACAAAUGUGUAAGUAACUAUGCACGUCUUGACGGUACCUAAUCAGAAAGCCACGGCUAACUACGUG